GGCUGCGGUGGACUCUAGGCGGGUAUGGAGGCAUCUGCGCAGCGGAGGUUGGGCAGGUGCUGGGAUGAAGGCUGGCGCACUCACAUCUGCCGCAGACUGGUGAGGCUGCUCAAGGAUGCGGGGAGGUUGCCGCCCAUGUUCUGUCCUACCACGUUCAGGGUAGCAACGGAGCCCACAGGGUUA
rnacentral:snRNA from 10 species